rnacentral:rRNA from 1 species
UUAGUGGCGGACGGGUGAGUAACGCGUGAGAAUCUGCCCUCAGGAGGGGGAUAACGGCUGGAAACGGCCGCUAAUACCCCAUAUGCCGAGAGGUGAAAUGAAUUUCGCCUGAGGAUGAGCUCGCGUCUGAUUAGCUAGUUGGUGAGGUAAUGGCUCACCAAGGCUUCGAUCAGUAGCUGGUCUGAGAGGAUGAUCAGCCACACUGGGACUGAGACACGGCCCAGACUCCUACGGGAGGCAGCAGUGGGGAAUUUUCCGCAAUGGGCGAAAGCCUGACGGAGCAACGCCGCGUGAGGGAUGAAGGCCUCUGGGCUGUAAACCUCUUUUAUCAAGGAAGAAGAUCUGACGGUACUUGAUGAAUAAGCCACGGCUAAUUCCGUGCCAGCAGCCGCGGUAAUACGGGAGUGGCAAGCGUUAUCCGGAAUUAUUGGGCGUAAAGCGUCCGCAGGCGGUUUUGAAAGUCUGUUGUUAAAGCGUGGAGCUUAACUCCAUUUCAGCAAUGGAAACUACAAGACUAGAGUGUGGUAGGGGCAGAGGGAAUUCCCGGUGUAGCGGUGAAAUGCGUAGAUAUCGGGAAGAACACCAGUGGCGAAGGCGCUCUGCUGGGCCAUAACUGACGCUCAUGGACGAAAGCCAGGGGAGCGAAAGGGAUUAGAUACCCCUGUAGUCCUGGCCGUAAACGAUGAACACUAGGUGUCGGGGGAAUCGACCCCCUCGGUGUCGUAGCCAACGCGUUAAGUGUUCCGCCUGGGGAGUACGCACGCAAGUGUGAAACUCAAAGGAAUUGACGGGGGCCCGCACAAGCGGUGGAGUAUGUGGUUUAAUUCGAUGCAACGCGAAGAACCUUACCAGGGUUUGACAUCCUGCGAAUCCCUUGGAAACUUGGGAGUGCCUUCGGGAGCGCAGUGACAGGUGGUGCAUGGCUGUCGUCAGCUCGUGUCGUGAGAUGUUGGGUUAAGUCCCGCAACGAGCGCAACCCACGUCUUUAGUUGCCAGCAUUUAGUUGGGCACUCUAGAGAGACUGCCGGUGAUAAACCGGAGGAAAGGUGUGGAUGACGUCAAGUCAUCAUGCCCCUUACAUCCUGGGCUACACACGUACUACAAUGCUACGGACAAAGGGCAGCAAACUCGCGAGAGCUAGCAAAUCCCAUAAACCGUGGCUCAGUUCAGAUCGUAGGCUGCAACUCGCCUACGUGAAGGAGGAAUCGCUAGUAAUCGCAGGUCAGCAUACUGCGGUGAAUACGUUCCCGGGCCUUGUACACACCGCCCGUCACACCAUGGAAGUUGGCCACGCCCGAAGUCGUUACUCCAACCCUUGUGGAGGAGGAUGCCGAAGGUGGGGCUGAUGACUGGGGUGAAGUCGUAACAAGGUAGCCGUACCGGAAGGUGC